rnacentral:rRNA from 1 species
GUCCACGCCCUAAACGAUGACGACUAGUUGUUGGAGGAGUUAAAUCCUUUAGUAACGAAGCUAACGCGCGAAGUCGUCCGCCUGGGGAGUACGGUCGCAAGAUUAAAACUCAAAGGAAUUGACGGGGGCCCGCACAAGCGGUGGAUGAUGUGGUUUAAUUCGAUGCAACGCGAAAAACCUUACCUACCCUUGACAUGCUAGGAAUCCUGCAGAAAUGCAGGAGUGCCCGAAAGGGACCUAGACACAGGUGCUGCAUGGCUGUCGU